GUGCCUCACACAUUCGAGGUAAGUGCUCAACCACUGAGCCAUAACCCCAGUCCCACCUUAUCGAGCUUUUUCUUUUUUUAAGCAGCUCUGGUAAUUCUGAUGUAGAGCCUGCCUCUUGCAUGUUUCUGUUAACAGCGUUCUUUCUCCUAACCAACAGCAUGACACUGCCUGGGGAUUUGUUAGACAUGCCAAAUCUCAGGUCCCCUCCCAAACCUGCUGAAUCAUAAUCUGCAUUUUGACAAGACCUCAGGUGAUUUAAAGCUGAGGAAUUCUAUUCUCAAACAUAGAACCUAAGGCAUCACAUAGACUAAAGCAUUUACUACUUAGAGAGGAAGUCAAGUUCAGUUCCUUAUUAUUUCUGUUCAACACUAGUUUUGGAAUUUGUUUCUCUCUCCAUUUUUCUGAAUAGAAGUUUUUAUUGCAGUUCUUUAGGUACUUUUCCCACAUUAAGUAUUAUGGAUACUUAUGGAACUUAUUAUGGAUAUUUAUACAUAAAUUACACACAUGGUGUUGGAUUACAGUGAAACAAGGAGAAGAACUAAUAGUGCAGUAAAUAAGGUCAUAAAUUCUGGAGCCAAAAUGCAAAGAUAUAAAUCCACCUGUGCCAUUUAGUAACCGAUAAUCUUUAUCUUGAGUGUUGACCUAACCAGUGAAGAAACAACUGAUUCCACUAGUUCAAAAAUCAACCCAUCUGAAAAUACUCAGCAAGAAGAUGGCAGCAUGUUCUCUCUCAUUACGUGGAAUAUUGAUGGAUUGGAUCUAAACAGUCUGCAGGAGAGGGCUCGUGGGGUGUGUUCCUACAUAACUUUGUACAGCCCAGAUGUAAUAUUUCUACAGGAAGUUAUUCCCCCAUAUUAUAGCUAUCUAAAGAAGAGAGCAAGGAGUUACGAAAUUAUUACAGGUCAUGAAGAGGGAUAUUUCACAGCUAUAAUGUUGAAAAAAUCAAGAGUGAAAUUAAAAAGCCAAGAGAUUAUUCCUUUUCCAAGUACCAAAAUGAUGAGGAACCUUUUGUGUGUUCAUGUAAGUCA